rnacentral:rRNA from 1 species
CAGCCGCCACGGUAAUACAGAGGGUGCGAGCGUUAAUCGGAUUUACUGGGCGUAAAGCGUGCGUAGGCGGCUUCUUAAGUCGGAUGUGAAAUCCCUGAGCUUAACUUAGGAAUUGCAUUCGAUACUGGGAAGCUAGAGUAUGGGAGAGGAUGGUAGAAUUCCAGGUGUAGCGGUGAAAUGCGUAGAGAUCUGGAUGAAUACCGAUGGCGAAGGCAGCCAUCUGGCCUAAUACUGACGCUGAGGUACGAAAGCAUGGGGAGCAAACAGGAUUAGAUACCCGUGUAGUCCCUGUCUCUUAUAC